UACGAAGGGGGCUAGCGUUGUUCGGAAUUACUGGGCGUAAAGCGCACGUAGGCGGAUAUUUAAGUCAGGGGUGAAAUCCCAGAGCUCAACUCUGGAACUGCCUUUGAUACUGGGUAUCUUGAGUAUGGAAGAGGUAAGUGGAAUUGCGAGUGUAGAGGUGAAAUUCGUAGAUAUUCGCAGGAACACCAGUGGCGAAGGCGGCUUACUGGUCCAUAACUGACGCUGAGGUGCGAAAGCGUGGGAGCAAACAGG
rnacentral:rRNA from 1 species